GCAUGUUCAGGUGAGUGCAGUCCUCUUGGUUUCAUAUAUAUAUAUAUAUAUAUAUAUAUAUAUAUAUAUAUAUAUAUAUAUAUAUAUAUAUAUAUAUAUAUAUAUAUGAAACCAAGAGGACUGCACUCACCUGAACAUGC